rnacentral:rRNA from 1 species
CGUAGGGUGCGAGCGUUGCCCGGAUUUAUUGGGCGUAAAGGGCGCGUAGGCGGCUCGGCACGUCCGUUGUGAAAUCGCCCGGCUCAACUGGGCGGGGUCGGCGGAUACGGCCGAGCUGGAGCAAGCUAGGGGGUAAUGGAAUUCCCGGUGUAGUGGUGGAAUGCGUAGAUAUCGGGAGGAACACCAGUGGCGAAGGCGGUUACCUGGAGCUUUGCUGACGCUGAUGCGCGAAAGCGUGGGGAGCGAAUCCGGAUUAGAUACCCGGGUAGUCCACGCCGUAAACGAUGCGGACUAGGUGUCGGGGGUAUCGACCCCCUCGGCGCCGCAGCUAACGCAUAAGUCCGCCGCCUGGGACACGGCCGCAAGGCUA